AGUGAACGCUGGCGGUAGGCUUAACACAUGCAAGUCGAACGGCAGCACAGUAAGAGCUUGCUCUUACGGGUGGCGAGUGGCGUACGGGUGAGGAAUACAUCGGAAUCUACUUUUUCGUGGGGGAUAACGUAGGGAAACUUACGCUAAUACCGCAUACGACCUACGGGUGAAAGCAGGGGAUCUUCGGACCUUGCGCGAUUGAAUGAGCCGAUGUCGGAUUAGCUAGUUGGCGGGGUAAAGGCCCACCAAGGCGACGAUCCGUAGCUGGUCUGAGAGGAUGAUCAGCCACACUGGAACUGAGACACGGUCCAGACUCCUACGGGAGGCAGCAGUGGGGAAUAUUGGACAAUGGGCGCAAGCCUGAUCCAGCCAUACCGCGUGGGUGAAGAAGGCCUUCGGGUUGUAAAGCCCUUUUGUUGGGAAAGAAAAGCAGCAGGUUAAUACCCCGCGGUACUGACGGUACCCAAAGAAUAAGCACCGGCUAACUACGUG
rnacentral:rRNA from 1 species